ensembl:lncRNA
GCCUUAUUUUGUGUACAAUAAAAGAACACAGCGGGGGUGCCCUCAGUAGCUCAGCCACUAUUGAUGGUCCCUACCUGGUGCCCGUCUGUUAUCCUAGCACUUUAAUUUGGAAGUCUGAGGCAGGAGGAUUGCUGAAAGUUCAAGGUUAACUUUGAGACCUUUUUUUUUCUUAAAGUACACCCAAUAUUUACUGUUGUAACCUUUUUUUUUUUUCAGUUUGUUUUAAGACAGUGUCUCAUGUAGCAGAUGUGGACUUUGAACUUCUGAGUCUCCUGCCUCCACCUCUUCAAUGCUGGGAUUAUAGGUUCCAGUGUAGCCACCUUCCUUCCUUCCUUCCUUCCUUCCUUUUUUUUUUUUUUUUUUUUAAUUGAGGCAGGGUUUCUCUGUGUAGCCCUGGUUGUCCUGGAACUCACUCUGUAGCCCAGGCUGUCCUCAAACUCACAGAGAUUUGCCUGCCUCUGCCUCCCAAAUCCUGGGAUUAAAGGUGUGUGCCAUCACUCCUGGCCACUGUAACCACUUUUAAGUGUAUAUAGUUCAGUAGCAUUAAACUCACCAUCAUUAUGUACAUUCCAGGACACUGUCAUCUUCCCAAACUAAAGUCUUGUCCCCACUGUGUAACUCCCCAACCUCCUCUCCCCGGCACCCACUCCUUCUGCAUCUACAAAUCUGGCUACCCCAGGGACCUCAUAUGUUCUUUUGACUGGCUUGUUUCAUUCUGCCUCGGAGUUCAUCAUUUGUAGCACGCGCCACCAUUUCCUUUUAAGGCUUAGCAACGCUCCGUUGCAUGGCAGAGCACACAUCUGUAUAUUCCUCCAUCCAUUCAUGGUCAUAUUCUGAUGCACAAAGAUUUUAUAUUUUCUUUCCGACAGGGUUUCUCUGUGUAGCCCUGGCUGUCCUGGAACUCUCUCUGUAGACCAGGCUGGCCUUGAACUCUCAGAGAUCCCCCUGCCUCUGCCUCCUGAGUGCUGAGAUUAAAGAUGUGCGCCCAGCUAGAUUGUACAUGUUCAUAGUCCAAUGUGACUGCUUUCCCUUUGGCUGUCACUGGAAAGUUGAAUGUCAUCAGUUUCUGCCCUCCUUCCCCGCUAGGAGUUUUGAACCUCGGUGCUUAUGUCCAAGCCCCUGAUUCAUUUGAAUUAAUUUCAUGUUUGGUGCCUGGCAAGGCUCCAACUUCAUUCUUUUGCUGUAGACACCCAUGUCCCCUGAGAUGCCUCACAGUCAGAAGAGGAGGCCAAAGCCCAGUCUCCACCCCACAGCAAAACACCACAACCUGCUUUUGCUCGACUGGCCUCCUCCCAGCUGUUUGGGCCAGAAAACCUGGGCAAUAUCCUGAUUCUACGUCCAUCAUCACUCUUAACUCCCCAGAAGCCUGCUGCAAGUCUCCAGAGCAUCUGGCGCAGACUAUGUAUGCAUGCCCAAGACAUGCUCAGGAUGACUGAGGCCACAGCUGGUAGUAAGGGACCUAUUCCUCUUGAAAUCUGUUCUGAGGGGCUGAAGAGAUGGCUCAGUGGGCAAAGCACUUGCUACACUAGUGUGAGGACCUGAAUUCAGAUCCCAGCACCUGAACUAAACCAGGGUGCAUUUCUGCAGUCUCAGCUCUUGGGGAGGGAGGCAGCAUAAAUGAGGUAGACAGUGGUAGAGAAAGACACCCAACAACUGUGAGGGACAUCAGAAUUCAUACUUGAAGUGCGAAUGACGGUGGCCGCAGGAUGGUGGUGUCCCACACAGGACAACCAUCCUAGAGUCGGUUCUCGCCUACUUUUAUGUGGGCUCAGAGAUUGAACUCAGGUCAUCAGGCUUGCACCAUCGAACAGUAAACACCUUUAUCUGUUCUGAGUCCAGUGUGGUGGCUCAUAACUGUAAUCUCAGCACCUGAGAGGCUGCGGUCAGGAGUUCCAGGUUGCCCUUUGCAGUGACCCAGGGACCUCAGAAACUCUAGCCACGUCAGUUUAUAUACUAACAGGAAAAGGCAAUUGUCCCCACCAGGAUGGAAAGAAGGCUCUGUGGAAUUGUG